rnacentral:rRNA from 1 species
CAGCAGCCGCGGUAAUACGUAGGUCCCGAGCGUUGUCCGGAUUUAUUGGGCGUAAAGCGAGCGCAGGCGGUUAGAAAAGUCUGAAGUGAAAGGCAGUGGCUCAACCAUUGUAGGCUUUGGAAACUGUUUAACUUGAGUGCAGAAGGGGAGAGUGGAAUUCCAUGUGUAGCGGUGAAAUGCGUAGAUAUAUGGAGGAACACCGGUGGCGAAAGCGGCUCUUUGGUCUGUAACUGACGCUGAGGCUCGAAAGCGUGGGGAGCGAACAGGAUUAGAUACCCCAGUAGUCCCUGUCUCUUAUACA